rnacentral:rRNA from 1 species
AUUAGAGUUUGAUCCUGGCUCAGGACGAACGCUGGCGGCGUGCUUAAUACAUGCAAGUCGAACGGAGCUUAGCUGAUAGUUUACUAGAGGCGAAAGCUUAGUGGCGGACGGGUGAGUAACGCGUGGGUAAUCUGCCCCUAAGUCCGGGAUAACAGAGCGAAAGUUCUGCUAAGACCGGAUAUACUUCUCUAAUUGCAUAAUCGGAGAAGGAAAGGUAACGCUUAGGGAUGAGCCCGCGUCCCAUUAGCUAGUUGGUGAGGUAACGGCCCACCAAGGCGACGAUGGGUAGCCGGCCUGAGAGGGUGGACGGCCACACUGGGACUGAGACACGGCCCAGACUCCUACGGGAGGCAGCAGUAGGGAAUUUUCCGCAAUGGGCGCAAGCCUGACGGAGCAACGCCGCGUGAGGGACGAAGGUCUUCGGAUCGUAAACCUUUGUCAAUGAGGACGAUAAUGACGGUACUCGAUGAGGAAGCCCCGGCUAACUACGUGCCAGCAGCCGCGGUAACACGUAGGGGGCGAGCGUUGUCCGGAAUUACUGGGCGUAAAGGGCGCGUAGGCGGCCUAAUAAGUCAAAUGUGAAACCCCUGGGCUUAACCCUGGGCUUGCAUUAGAAACUGUUGGGCUUGAGGGCAGGAGAGGAAAGCGGAAUUCCCAGUGUAGCGGUGAAAUGCGUAGAUAUUGGGAGGAACACCAGUGGCGAAGGCGGCUUUCU